rnacentral:rRNA from 1 species
AUUGAACGCUGGCGGCAGGCUUAACACAUGCAAGUCGAGCGGAGAUGAGGUGCUUGCACCUUAUCUUAGCGGCGGACGGGUGAGUAAUGCUUAGGAAUCUGCCUAUUAGUGGGGGACAACAUUCCGAAAGGAAUGCUAAUACCGCAUACGUCCUACGGGAGAAAGCAGGGGAUCUUCGGACCUUGCGCUAAUAGAUGAGCCUAAGUCGGAUUAGCUAGUUGGUGGGGUAAAGGCCUACCAAGGCGACGAUCUGUAGCGGGUCUGAGAGGAUGGUCCGCCACACUGGGACUGAGACACGGCCCAGACUCCUACGGGAGGCAGCAGUGGGGAAUAUUGGGCAAUGGGGGGAACCCUGAUCCAGCCAUGCCGCGUGUGUGAAGAAGGCCUUAUGGUUGUAAAGCACUUUAAGCGAGGAGGAGGCUACUGAGACUAAUACUCUUGGAUAGUGGACGUUACUCGCAGAAUAAGCACCGGCUAACUCUGUGCCAGCCGCCGCAGUAAAAC